rnacentral:lncRNA from 1 species
AACUUCAACUGCUCCUGACCAAGUCAACUGGCCACGCGGCCUUCCAAAAUCUUCAAAAAUCCCCUCCUGCUCUAAGACACGUGGCCUUGGCACUUUAUGUUCUGCUUUCUUUGUGGCCCCUGGGUUUUUCGGCCCCAUCUCACAGUUAUCUGGGGACUUGUCACCAAAUGUGAGUAUCCCAGGGUAGGGAGCACAGAGCCUGCUGCAGCCCCUGAGCCAGUCUUGCACGCAGCAUAACACGCAAUACAAACAGCUCUCCAACAGCACACUCUGGUCUGCUCAGAUGCGUGGCCCCCAUUCUCUGCCUGACCCCAGGCCCAUCUGCUGCUAGCACACAACCCCUCUGCCCCACACCCUCAAAUCCAUCUCUGUCCACUGGGGUGUUUCAAAGGACCACACAGAAAGAGCAACGGAGGCACCAGCGGGGCAUGAGGCUGUUCUCCAGCCCCGGCUGCCUCUUCUUUAGAAGCAGCAGGACCUGCUGCACGAGGCUGUUCUCCAGCCCCGGCUGCCUCUUCUUUAGAAGCAGCAGGACCUGGGGCAGCCUGGAAAAGCAAGUUUCCAGUCAACGAUUAACCAGACGCUCUCCCAGCAAAGACACAAACCUUUUCCCCGGAAGUUAGCAAAGUUCUGUGAAAGCCCCUGCAUGAACUGGGCCCCUGACUCCAGGAAAACAGAGGCAUCUUCCAAUGUCCUUGGAGCCAUGAGACCCCAAAACACCUACCGGGAACGAAGGGGCUUCACCCAGACAGGCCCCGCAAGGGAGGAGGAGGCCGCUCUCCCUCCCACCACCGUUGUCGGGGGUGACCCGAGGUGUUCCAGAUGAGGAGCUGAAUCACUGGGACUUAAGUCAAUAAGUGGCAGCCACCAGGCAGGCCCAGCUGGAGCCAAACCAAGGCCUGGAUUCUCCUCGUGGAUGUCUGGUCUGCCUCUGCCUUUGCUCCUGCUAUCCCCAGGGCCCCAGGUGCCCCUCCCUCCACCUCAUCCUUCUGGACCCAGCAAAUGUCCUCCACCAGGAGGCCUUUCUGGACCUCGUCAUCCUCCUGGAAGGAUCCUCUCCCACCCCGAAGUCCUUUAACUAUUUACUUGUCCCUCUCCUUCGUACUGAGCUUAUGCUGUAUUUGUUUAUGUGCUUAUCUUCUACCGGGCUCAUCUCUGUAACCUUUUUAUUCUUUUAUUCAUUCAUUCCACAAAUACUAAUUGAGCACCUACUAUGUGCCAGACCCCAUGCUAGGACUGGGGACACAAUGAUGAGCAAGACAGACACUGUCCCUGCCACCCUGGAACUCCCAUGUUGGAGAGAAAAAACAAAAACAAAACACGAAGCAAAUAAACAUUAGUAAACACGUCAGGAUAAGCGGCGAUACAGGCUGGAAUAGAAAGGUGUAGGUGAUGUGAGAGGCGAGUGUCCGUGCGGACGGAGGAGCUGGGGGAGGAGACUCUGAGGCCAGAGGUGUGAGCGGAGUGAGUCGGGCACGCUUUCCAGACACAAAAUCGGUGUUUGCUAAACAUGCGUGGAACAAAUGAGUGGCUAACAAGCCAGAAAUUCUGAGCGUGUGCCCCGUGUCGCUCCAGACACAACUUCCUCACCCUCAUCACCCUGUGGGUCACUCCGACUGGCACCCAGACGCGUUUCCCAGCCCACACGCCUGCUACGGGGCCCACCUGUGUCACCCUCACAGAGGCGCUUGCCAGGACUCAAGGGGCUCUCCGCUCAGAACCCCUCAUGGCCUCCCUGACACCACCAGCGGCCCUCGGGCUGGACAGCAAGCGGGUUUUGUCUCGCCUGCAGACUCCAGCCCCGGAGCACCACGCGUGGAAGCACGGCGAGGCCGCCCCUGGGCUCGGUGGGAAAGAGCUCUGAUCGACUGGUGGCGUCUGCCAGGGAAUGGCAGAAGACAGAGAGGCACAUUUGCCACGUAUUUUCCUUGUCACCCAGGGCUCCACAAAUGACCACUCAGGCAAGAAAUCUCCUUCGGGUCUAAUUGCCUGGACGAGCAUUCAGUAUCUGGUGCCCUUUCCUUAUGGGCCACGUGAACCACGUCACUGAUUUUUUUUUCCUGCCUUGACUGCUCAUUAGCUCAGAGCUAAAUGUGUGGUUCAAACACAGCAAAGUAUAUACAGCUCGAUGGCCUGAAUAGGGGGUCUAACUCUCCCCCUGCUUUCAACCUUCUACUAAUCUACAUCUAUGUCUUUUCUGAUCUUAUUUUUAUGAUCUCUAGUUACAUGUCCA